AUUGCCAACCUCUCCUUCCUCCUCCCCACGUUGGCCGGCCAUGCCGCUCCGGCAGUGCUAUAGCCGCCGACCGUGUCAGAGCUACCAUCACGAAUCCACUUCUCUACAUGAUCCGUGAGACCCCGCGACAUCGUCCCUUCUUUCCCCUCCUGAUCCACCAUCGCCGACACCCGAGAGCCACUUGAGGGUCACCAGAGUGCCGCCUCUUCGGUACUCUUGUUCUGAUCCAGUAGCCAACUAUGUGAGAGAUCGUCGUCGCCCCAUCUCUCAAUCAUCUUGAGGAAUAAUUCUGUCGCCCCUCUUCAUCAGUGCUGAUGUAGCAACCAACACAACUAGUUUCCUCUUCAAUGUUCUUUACACCCGAUCUAGUGCCACCGACCACUGCGAGAGCUGCCAUCACCCCUUUAGUUGUACCGGGCCCAGCAGGUUGACCCACUGCCAGCCAUCUCUUCACUUCCUUCUAAAUUCCAACCUUGUCACCACGGAUGCAUUGCUAAGAUUGGUUGUGACUCAGAUGCCUUUAUUAACACUGCUCUUAUGUCCUGCUCAUUUGGUCAUGUCGGUGAUGCCGAACAUAUGUUUGUUGAAAUGCCCUAAUUCCUCUUGCUUCCUCUAUAUGUGCCAUCAGUUCCACCGCCAGUCAUCUGUAGUUGUGAGCUGUUGCUAGGGCAGUGAACAUCCACAGUAAGAAGAUGUGGGGGAGUAUAUAGAGGAUUUAUGAUGUCACUUGGAUAUCCUGUCCGCCAGUCCCAUAUCACAUCAAGCUAUUUCUUUCAUUAUCAUUUCCUCACAGAUUAUUGGUUUUGUACUUAUAUUUGCAAUAUGUAUCCUCUGUGUGGGUUUUUGGAUUUGUGACUUUCUUUUAUUUAGUUAUGUACUUAUUAUAUCAAGAUGGGACAUCUUGUAGUCAGUUGUAUUGUUUAUAUAUCUUACUUAUGUCU